GGGGGCGUCAGAAGCUCCCCCUGAGCCCCCAAAAAUCCCUCCUGCCCCGCCUCCCAUUGGCCGCUGGUUCCGCGGCACUUUACUCACUUCCUGGACUACAACUCCCGAAAGGCCGCGGGGCGCCGUGGGACGCCGAUAGAGCCGGGACUGCGGUUCCCGUCAUGCCGCGCGGCCCGUGGGAGUCCCCUCAGAGCCGGGGCUGUCCCCUGAGGAUCGUCCCGGCUGCUCCCCAAGUGCUUCCCCGAACCCUAAGUGCCCCCCGGGGUCCCCCUACAUCACCAGAGCAGAUCUUAGAGAUGGUGGCCAAGGGCAAUAGAAACCAGUGCAGCACCACACCAAGUCCAAUGCCACCUCCUCCCACUCCCAUGCCAUCCUCCAGAUCCAGGUGAAGCAGUGGGACCAACGCCGCUGUUGGCUUUGCUGAGAAUCUGCGUGUGGCCAAGGCAGAGCCACAUCCUGCCCUGGAUCAGCAGCUGCGGAAUCAUUCCGCGCUUGCGGAAUGCCUUCCCUGGGCGGCACAACCCCGUGAUCGCGGCCGGCCCGGACACCUGCGGCACGCCGUGGUUCGGCAGCCAAGCCAGGUCCAUCCCGCUGCUGGUGAGGAUCAAGCGGGAGCGACGCAGGGACCUGCCCGGGGCUCGGGAGCGGCUGAGUCAGGACGUUGUGUGGCGCGAUGGAUUGGUGGGUGCCUCCCGCAGGCCGCCGGAAUUUCCCAGCCCUGGGGGCGCCGCUAUGGGCAGAAGCAGGCGAUUGAGCUGUGGCAGCGUGUGCCUAGUGUGAAUACAAAGCUGUGUUUCGUGUCAGCUUGAGAAAGGAAGAUGAACAUCAACUCAAGGACUAAUAGUUUCAACCAAGGGAAGCUGGACAUCACUGCUAUGAGAUUUAUAGUCCUUGCAAUUAAAAGGUGAACCUGCAUCUGGAAUCUGGACCUCACCAGCUGGGAGACUUCUUUGUUCUUUCGGAAGCCAGACCCCACCAUCUGAGGAUACUCCUUUCUGGGAUACAUCCUGAGAAAAACUAAAUCACAAUAGUGUAUAGAAUUGUGACAUAAAAAUUUGGAAUAGAAACUGCUGAGAAAGCUUAUGAGUACCUGUAUAAAUACCUGUAAGCUCCAACUAUUGGCAUACAGUUGGAGGGAAAACUUCC